rnacentral:rRNA from 1 species
AUACGGAGGGUGCAAGCGUUGUUCGGAAUCACUGGGCGUAAAGGGCGCGCAGGCGGUUUGGUAAGUCAGAUGUGAAAGCCCAUGGCUCAACCAUGGAAGUGCAUUUGAAACUGUCAGACUUGAGUACUAGAGGGGAAAGUGGAAUUCCCGGUGUAGAGGUGAAAUUCGUAGAUAUCUGGAGGAAUACCGGUGGCGAAGGCGACUUUCUGGCUAGAUACUGACGCUGAGGCGCGAAAGCGUGGGGAGCAAACAGGAUUAGAAACCCCAGUAGUCC